CACACCGCCCGUCACAUCACGAAAGCCAGUUGUACUAGAAGCCGGUGAUUCGACCGCAAGGGGAUAGCCGUCCAAGGUAUGGCUGGUGAUUGGGGUG
rnacentral:rRNA from 1 species